ensembl:snRNA U6 U6 spliceosomal RNA
GUGCUGCUUUGCACCACAUAGACUAAAAUUGAAAUGAUACAGAGAAGACUAGCAUGGUUCCUGCCCAAGAUGACAUGAAAAUUCAUGCCAAUUUCCAUAUUUAA